AGCGGGCCGACGGGUCCCUUGUGAAAUCGGACGGCUUAACCGUUCGGCGUGCAGGGGAAACUGCGGAUCUUGGGGUCGGUAGGCGCCGAGGGUACUCCGAGGGUAGCGGUGAAAUGCUAUAAUCCCCGGAGGACCGCCGGUGGCGAAGGCGCUCGGCGAGACCGAACCCGACGGUGAGGGACGAAGGCCAGGGUAGCGAACCGGAUUAGAUACCCGGGUAGUCCUGGCUGCAAAGUAUGUGGACUAGGUGCCGGGCGUUCCUCGAGAGUGCUCGGUGCCGAAGGGAAGCCAUUAAGUCCACCGCCUGGGAAGUACGGCCGCAAGGCUGAAACUUAAAGAAAUUGGCGGGGGAGCACCACAAGGGGUGGAGCCUGCGGUUUAAUUGGAUUCAACGCCGGACAUCUCACCGGGGGCGACGGCAGAGUGAAGGCCAGGUUGACGACUUUGCCGGACUCGCCGAGAGGUGGUGCAUGGCCGCCGUCAACUCGUAUCGUGAGACGUCCUGUCAAGUCAGGUAACGAGCGAGACCCUCGCCCUUAGUUGCCAUCGGAUCCCUUCGGGGAUGCUGAGCACUCUAAGGGGACCGCUGUCGAUAAGACAGAGGAAGGAGAGGGCGACGGUAGGUCCGUAUGCCCCGAAUCCCCCGGGCAACACGCGGGCUACAAUGCGCGAGACAGAGGGCUGCGACCCCGAAAGGGGAAGCCGAUCUCUAAACUCGCGCUCAGUUCGGAUCGAGGACUGAAACUCGUCCUCGUGAAGCUGGAAUCCCUAGUAAUUGCGUGUCACUAUCGCAC
rnacentral:rRNA from 1 species